GAACAAACUUUCAUAAUCGAUACAUUUUCCUCUAAGUACAGAGACUACGCAUGCGUUUUUAGUUUCUGCGAGCUGGCAUUUGCUUGACGACGGAAGACAGAUCUCCUGUCUGUGCCUAAAGUUGCAUUGACUCAUUUCACAAAAGGAGAAAAACUGCUUUCAUUAGUUUCCAUGGAAACUGCAAAUCACACAAAUUCCAAAGAGAUAAUAACACUCUUCAAGAAACACAACAAAUCUCAUUGACUCAUUUCCCACUAGAACGACAAUUGCUAUUAUGUACUUAGUUUCUAUGAAAGCUCACUGUUUCUCGACAAGCAGAAAAGCAUAGCUUCCAUCAUAUGGCAUGGAACUCUCUCAUUGUCAGCAUGCUAAUUUCAAGCUGACCAGCAUGUAUUAAAGAGGACAAAAGAACUUAAUGAGA